rnacentral:tRNA from 1 species
GGAGGGGUGGCCGAGUGGUUUAAGGCGACGGUCUCGAACACCGUUUUCCCGCAAGGGAUCGCAGGUUCGAAUCCUGUCCCCUCCG